rnacentral:tRNA from 1 species
GCAUCCGUAGCUCAGCUGGAUAGAGUACUCGGCUACGAANNGAGCGGUCGGAGGUUCGAAUCCUCCCGGAUGCACCA